rnacentral:rRNA from 1 species
ACGAACGCUGGCGGCGUGCUUAACACAUGCCAGUCGAACGGGCCUGUCUUCUUUUUUGGGGGUGGGUUGAGUGGCGAACGGGUGAGUAUCACGUGAGUAACCUGCCCUUCGGUCCUGGAUAACCGCUUGAAAGGGCGGCUAAUACGGGGUGGUCCGGUUGGUCCGCAUGGGCUGGUCGGGAUAGAUUCACUGUUUUUGGUGUUUCGGCGGGGGAUGGGCUCGCGGCCUAUCAGCUUGUUGGUGGGGGGAUGGCCUACCAAGGCGGUGACGGGUAGCCGGCCGGAGAGGGUGGGCGGCCACACUGGGACUGAGAUACGGCCCAGACUCCUGCGGGAGGCAGCAGUGGGGGGUAUUGCACAAUGGGCGGAAGCCUGAUGCAGCGACGUCGCGUGAGGGAGGGAGGCCUUCGGGGUGCGAACCUCUGUUUCCGGUGGUGAAGGCCCUGUCCGUGUGGUGGGGUUGACGGUAGCCGGGGAUGAAGCGCCGGCUAACUACGUG